rnacentral:lncRNA from 1 species
GUCUUGUUCCGUUGCCCAGACUAGAGUGCAGUGGCAAGAUCUCGGCUCACUGCAACCUCUGCCUUCUGGGUUCAAGUGAUUCUUCUGCCUCAGCCUCCCGAGUAGCUGGGAUUACAGGCGUGCAUCACCACGCCUGGCUAAUUUUUGUAUUUUAAGUAGAGACGGGGUUUCACCUUAUUGGCCAGGCUUUUCUGGAACUCCUGACCUCAGGUGAUCCGCCUGCCUCGGCCUCCCAAAGUGCUGGGAUUACAGGUGUGAGCCACCGUGCCUGGCUUUGUUUUCCCCCCAGUAGAGAUCGAGUCUCACACUGUGACCCAGGAUGGAGCGCAGUGGUGUGAUCAUAGCUCACUGCAGCCUCAAACUCCUGGGUUCAACCAAUCCUGCUGCCUCAGCUUCCCAAGUAGUUGGGACUGCAGGCCAUGCCAGGCUAAAAUUUUUUUUUAAAGAGAGACCGGGGGGCGGGGGGCGCCUCACUAUGUUGCUCAGGCUGGUCUCGAACUCCUGGUCUCAAGCAGUCCUUCCACCUAAGCCUCCCAAAGUGUUGGGAUUACCGGCAUGAGCCACCAUGCCAGCCUGAUUUACUUCUUUCCAAAGACUCACUGUUGCUGGGAGACUUGGAGGUAGGUAUAAGGAGCCGUAGGGAGACUUGGAUGAGUGCUUUUCACAUUGCAGGUUAAAAUUUAUUAGUGGGAAGUAAAAUCAAUUUAAGGGAAUUGAAGCUAGCAUUUUUUGUUUUGAAUGAAGUAGAAAACAUCACGGCCUGACAUAUAGUAGGGACAGUUAUAGUUACGUGAAACCUUGUUUCAGUUAUGCAACUGUAUGUAUGUUCUGGGUUAUUUAUAUGAGAUGGAUUUCUUACUGUGGUGGAUCUUAGGCUGAAAACUUUGAAAGCCACUGAGUUGGAUCACCUCGGCCUGGAGGAUGAAGGGAGGUGACACUCUUUGUAUCAACCCAGAUGUACUAUCCAGAGGAAGGAGCUCCAGCUCUCUAGCUGACAGGGCACCUCAGCCUCCCUGAUCCCUGGCAGGGCAGAGGCCAACAGGGCAUAGCAAUAGCCAAGAAAGAACAAUUGCGUCUUGGGAACCUCCCAGGCCCCAGCCUCUCAGUUGUCCACUGCCCAGCUGCAGAGAAGGCAGGAGCUUGACAUAUCUGUGGCACUUGGCAGCCGGUGCAGAUGGGGUGAGGCCUUGGGCUCUCCGCUCUACACUGCCCUCUGUCUGCACAGCAGACAGUCGAGAUGCACUGAAACUGUCCAGAUGCGACUCCUGAUUUUCAUUCCAUCCUCCAUCUCUGGGACUGUUACGAUAGCUGUUUCCCUGAAGUUUCUCUUUCUACCCGCUCCAUGUCUUCCUCUGCCCGAAAUCCUUCUGUAGCUUCCUAUUAAAUAGCAUUCCCAUGGUUCAUUUAUUUAGACAACAAACAUGUAUUGAGUGCCUGCUGUGUACUAGGCACUUGGGGUACCACAAGGGACAAAAUAGACCAAAAUCUCUGCCUUCACAUAGCUUACAGCUUAGUGGCAAUAGAGAUGGGCACAGAUGCAGAGCUGUAAACUGUCACAUGGUGAUAGACACCUGCUAUGGAGAAAACCAGAGCAGAGAAGGGA